rnacentral:rRNA from 1 species
UGGGGAAUAUUGCACAAUGGGCGAAAGCCUGAUGCAGCAACGCCGCGUGAGUGAUGAAGGCCUUCGGGUUGUAAAGCUCUGUCUUUUGGGACGAUAAUGACGGUACCAAAGGAGGAAGCCACGGCUAACUACGUGCCAGCAGCCGCGGUAAUACGCAGGUGGCAAGCGUUGUCCGGAUUUACUGGGCGUAAAGGAUGCGUAGGCGGAUUUUUAAGUGAGAUGUGAAAACCCUAAGCUUAACUCGGGGGACUGCAUUUCAUACUGGAAAUCUAGAGUGCGGGAGAGGAGAAUGGAAUUCCUAGUGUAGCGGUGAAAUGCGUAGAGAUUAGGAAGAACACCAGUGGCGAAGGCGAUUCUCUGGACCGUAACUGACGCUGAGGCAUGAAAGCGUGGGUAGCAAACGGGAUUAGAUACCCCUGGUAGUCCACGCCGUAAACGAUGAGUACUAGGUGUAGGAGGUAUCGACCCCUUCUGUGCCGCAGUUAAACACAAUAAGUACUCCGCCUGGGAAGUACGAUCGCAAGAUUAAAACUCAAAGGAAUUGACGGGGGUCAUAGCUGUUUUUCCCU